rnacentral:misc_RNA from 1 species
ACCCUUGAGCCCCUUUUCCCAGGGACAUCUGAUAUAGAUCAACUCAGCAGAAUUUUCAAUGUUUUGGGCAAUUUAACAGAGGAAGUGUGGUCAGGAUGUUGGAAACUUCCUGAUUAUGAAACAAUUUCUUUUGCUAAUAUUGAAAAUCCUAUUGGUUUAGAAGCCUCCCUCCCUAACCAUUCCCUUGAUGAAGUCUCUCUAGUCGAGAAGCUGGUUUGUUAUGACCCAGCUAACAGAGCUACAGCAAUGGAACUGCUCCAUGAUGAGUACUUCGGCAAAGAGCCUCUUCCAGUCCCCAUAUCUGAGCUUCGUGUACCUUUGACAAAUGGAGGGCAAAAUGGGGAUUCUCCUGGUGGAUGGUAUGACUACAACGAUAGGGAAUCUGAUUCUGAUUUUGAUGAGUUUGGCCCUAAGGAUAUCACAACCACCAGUACUGGUUUUUCUCUACAGUUUUCCUGAGCUCAAAGACGAUGAGGCCUGUUUUCUGUAGCUUGUGGAAUUUCAUAAUUUAAUUAUACAAUAUAUCUUGUCCCAAAAUACCCUGGACCUUGUGUUCAUGUUGAAGUAAUACAAAAAAGUUUUUGCUCUUGGCAAAUCUGUUUCAAAAGGAUUUGUAAUAAUUCUGAGUGAAGGAAAUGACAUGAAUGAUCUGCUUGUUAUCAGAAAGUAAAUUAUCAUGUAUUGCAUUGCUCCC